UGGCAGUAAUGCCCAGAGCUGCGCCGAUCUGAAGCCAGGAGCCAGGAGCUUCCUCUGGGUCUCCCAUGCUGGUGCAGGGGCCCAAGGACUUGAGCUGUCUUCUGUUGCUUUCCCAGGCCACAGCAGAGAGCUGGAUUGGAAGUGGAGCAGCCGGGUCUCGAACUGACACCCAUAUGGGAUGCUGGCACUGCAGGCGGCAGCUUUACCUGCUACACCACAAAGGGCUCAUCUUUAUAGGGAGAGAGAGACGGCAAGUAAGUGCUGAAGUGGGGGCCAUUUUGAGGCAGAACAUUAUGAACUGAAAGGUACAUACCACGUGUGGUGCUUUAAAAGUCAGGUAACAAGUGUACAACUCCAGAUGAAGAAGACCACGUCUUCCCUCCCUCCCAUCCUGACCGCCUUGGAGAGAGGGAGGGACAGUGCAGAUGCAUGCUGAAGGAAAUGGAUGUCAUGGCAACCAUCAGAGAAGUGGGGACCCUGUGUUCUCCUGGAAGCACCCCUCAAGGAAGAAAACAGAACAGCAAAUUGAGUUCCCACAAAUGUGGAAAGGCCCUCCUAGUGGGAAUUCCCAGCCAUCACCAGUACUCACUUUGGAAGAGUCGGUAGGGGAAGUGCAUUUCAUUAAUACUCUGAAGUUAUACCAUGUAAGCUGGAAAAUACAAGGAGCAGUGUUAGUAAGACCUCCUUGGCACUCUCUUGGGGACAUUGUAAUGAUGAAUAUUAAUGUUAUUAACUAACAAUAUAAUACUAGAUCAUCAUCACCACAACUAUUUUUAUAGACUAGUGAAUUUGAUUGUUGCAAGCAUAACGAUUUUUAUACUAUCACCUAAGUAGUGAGAUACUAUCAAUAGAUAACAUACAGGGCAUCCAAAAAAAACUUGCUUCUUAAAAUCUUUUUUUUUUUUAAGAUUUAUUUAUUUAUUUGAGAGACAAAGAGAUCUUCCAUCUGCUGGUUCAAUGCCCAAAUGGCUGCAACAGCUAGAGCUGAGCCGGUCUGAAACCAGGAGCCAGGAGCUUCCUCCUGAUCUCCCAAAUGGAUGCAGGGGCCUAAGCCCUUCAGCCAUCUUCCACUGCUUUCCCAGGCCAUAAGCAGAGAACUAAAUCAGAAGAGGAACAGCCAGGAUACAAACGAGUGCCCAUAUGGGAUGCCGGUGCUGCAGAUGGAGGCCUAACCUGCUAUGCCACAGUUCCAACCCCUUUUAAAAUCUUAAACACAUCAUUCAUUCAUAAGUUACUCAUUUCCUCUCAAAAAGUGAGAAAUAUCAGUGUACACUGAGAUUUAGGAGUAAUGACCACCCAUUUUUAUAGGGAAACUCUAUGAAGCUUAUUGUUGCUAUUUACAAAUAUGUCAAAUUUGAAUAAGGAAGAGGUUUGAUGCUUGAGCUGGUUUUAAGUUCUAUCUUUCUGAAUAUUUAAAUUGCAUUUUUGCAUUCUUUCCAAUAAUUCCAAGAGUCACUGAAUGUUCUUAAAACUUUAUAAUGAAUUCUCCUUAAGAAUGAAUAAAAUUCCCUAUGAAUGAAUUUAAAAGAACGUAUAGGAAAUUAAGUGGUCAUAUUUGUGGCAGAAUUUCUUUUUAACAAUAACAUAACCAUGGUGAAUCAAAGGAAUGAAAAAAGGGCAGGCCAUGAAUCCUGAGUCUCAGAAGGGUAGUACUGAGGCUUGAGUUUUGAUAAUUUGGCGAUUUCUGAUUGUUUUGCCAUGGAGCCUCUUAACAUCAUCCUGCCCGUGAAAGCAUUGGGAUGAAGAUGGCACUUUCAGUCUCACAGAGAAAACACAAAUAGAUGGUUAACACUCAGGUAACAUUGUCAUCUUCCUUACUGUACUCAUCCGUUUCCAUGAGAAAAAAAAGAUUUGCAGUUUUGUCAGUUUUGUUUUCCUUUGAGUUCACAGAUUCUUCCACUUUAGCAGUCUACACAUGCUGACAGGAGGACACUUUGAACUCAUUCUUAAUAUAACUCCGUGAAAACCAUAGUUAUUUAAUGUCAACUUCUUUUUUUUUUAUAAAAUGUUUAUUUAUUUGAAAGUCAGAGUCACACAGAGAAGGAGAGGCAGAUAGAGAGAGAGAGAGGUCUUCCAUCUGCUGGUUCACUCCCCAGUGGUCUCCCACAAGGGUGCAGGGGCCCAAGGACCCAGACCAUCUUCUACUGCUUUCCCAGGGCAUAGCAGAAAGCUGGACCGGAAGUGGAGCAGCUGGGACUUGAACUGGUGCCCAUAUGGGAUGAUGGCACUGCAGGUGGCAGCUUUACCCAUUACACCACAGCGCUGGCCCCUAAUGUCAACUUCUAGGCUGAUGUUUUUGAUGAGUAGCAAAUGCUCAGUGAGUUACAUAUGAGGGCACUUCAAAAAGUUUGUGGUAAGGUGGGUGUUUGGCACAGCAAUAAGAUACUGCUUGGGAUGCCUGCUUAUACCUGGGUUCAAGUCCUGACUUCAACUUGCAAUUCCAGCCUCCAGCUCAGGUACAUCCUGGAAGGCAGCAGGUGAUGGGUCAAGUUCAUGGGUCUUUGCCCUCUACACAGAAGACCUGAACUGAGACCCCAGUUCCUGGCAUCAGCCUAUCCCAGCUCCAGCUGCUGCAGGCAUUUGAGAAGUGAACCAGUUGAUGAGAGACCUCUAUGUCUCUUCCUCUCAUCUCUCUGCUUUCCAAAUAAAUUAAAUAGAUGAAUUAAUUUUGAAAAGUGGGGUUUGGUGCUGUGGCUUAAAAAGUUAAACCUCCACCUGCAAUAUUGCCAUCCCAUAUGGGCUCCAGUUCAAGUCCCAGCUGCUCUACUUCUGAUUCAGCUCCCUGCUAAUGAGCCUGAGAAAGCAGCGGAAGAUGGUUCAAGUCCUUGGGCCUUUGCACCCAUGUGGGAGACCCAGAUGAAGCUCCUGGCCCAGCCCCAGCUUUGCAGCAAUUUGGAGAGUAAACCAGCAGAUGGAAGCUCUCUCUCCUUCUCUCUCUCUCUACCUUGCCAAUAAAUAAAUCUUUAAAAAGAAAGUUUGUGGCAAAGUAGGAUUUUAAAAUGUUAAUUUUUUUGCAAAGUUUUUGAAACUCAUACAUAGUAUGUUCAUAACACACAUUUUCUGUGACCUUACAUUUUGCUUUAAAUUUUAUUUUUUGUUUCAUUUAAGAAGCAGAGAGACAGAUAUAGACAGAGCUCUCUUGUCCACUGGUUCACUCCCCAAAUGGCCACCACAGCUGGACUCAAUCCGAGUCUUUGUGAGUAGCAGGGACACAAUGACUUAAUCCAUCACCUCCUACCUCCCAAAGUGUACACUAGUGGGAAAUGGAAUUGGGAAUGGAGACAAGUCAUGAACCCAGGCACUCCAAUAUGGGAUAUAGGCCUCUGUGAACUUUUUGAAGGCCCCCUUGUACAGUGUCAGCAUGAAACAGAGUUUAGUGUGAGGUCCAAAGAGGCACCAAAGUGUAGGAGCUUGAAAAAACAAGGACAUGUAAUAGAAACUAAUCAAAACAUGAGCCACAGGGGCCAGCAUUGUGGCACUACCUGCAACGCCAACAUCCCCCACUGGAGCUCUGGUUGCAGUCUCAGUUGCUCCACUUACUAUUUAGUGUCCUGCUAAUGUGCAUGGGAGAGCAGUGGAAGAUGGCCCAAGUACCUGGGCCCCUGCCACCCGCACAGGAGACCUGGACGGAAUUUCUGGCUUCAGCUUGGCCCACUGCCCAGCUGUGACACCAUUUGGGGAGAGAAUGGGUGGAAGAUCUGUUUCUUUGUCUCAUCUCUCUUCUUUCUAUCACUCUGCCUUUCAAAUAAAUAUUUUUUAAAACCAUGAGCAAUAUCCAAUUUCCUAACAUAUUGGUAAGUUUCAUAUCCGUUUUUAAUUUUGAAAGAUUGUCUUCAAUAAAUAUUUCAUUAUUCAUCCCUAACCCAGCAUGUCAUUUUACAAUGUUGUAAAGUACCCUUGUUAGGUUACAGUUUGAAUCAUAGAGAAAUGUUAAACCAAAUGUUAGACCCUUGAUAUCCAGCUCUAAGAAUCCUUGGACCCCUUAAUCUUAUAAAUGAUUUUUUAAAAAAGUUCGUGGGGCCGUUCGCUGUGGCUCACUUGGUUAAUCCUCCACCUGUGGCAACGGCAUCCCAUAUGGGCGCCAGGUUCUAGUCCCAGUUGCUCCUCUUCCAGUCCAGCUCUCUGCUGUGGCCUGGGAAAGCAGUGAAGGAUGGCCCAAGUGCUUGGGCCCUGCACCCACAUGGGAGACCAGGAGAAGCACCUGGCUCCUGGCUUCAGAUCUGCACAGUUCCGGCCGUGGUGGCCAUUUUGGGGUGAACCAGCAGAAGGAAGACCUUUCUCUGAUUCUCUCUCUCUCACUGUCUGUAACUCUACCUGUCAAAUAAAAAAAAAAGUUCAGGAAAGUGGGUUGCCUGUCCCGGGUGAUACAACAGAAUGGUUUUGGAAGGAGGUUUAGAACUCACUCUGCCUCUGCUAAUUCUGUUAUUUGCCCAUGAGCCAUAGUUGUUUAGCUGAACCCUCCAUAAAAGUGUUAAGCCUCCAUAAAAAGUUGCCAGCCCAGUCUCCUCUAUCAAAAAUUAUUUCUGUAAAUGGAGGAUUCAUAAUCUUAGCACUCAAAAAUGCUGAGUUCCCAGCAGUGAGGGUGCUACAUAGGAAGUAUGAGGUGCCGGCGCUGUGGCGCCGCAGGUUAACGUCCUGGCCUGAAGCACCAGCAUCCCAUAUGAGCACCUGUUCUAGUCCCAGCUGCUCCUCUUCCAAUCCAGCUCUCUGCUAUAGCCUUGGAAAGCAGUAGAAGAUGGCCCAAGUGCUUGGACCCCUGUACCUGCAUGAGAAACCAGGAAGAAGCAUCUGGCUCCUGGCUUCUGAUCAGCACAGCUACGACCAUUAUGACCAUCUGGGGAGUGAACCAGAGGAUGGAAGAUCUCUCUCUCUAUGUCUCUACCUCUCUCUGUAACUCUUUCAUAUAAAUAAAAUCUUAAAAAAAAAAAGUAUGAACUCAAAGCCAGAAUUCAGUGACCUCCCCUGUAGCUUUUCAUGAGAAAAAUGUUCACACACACACACACACACACACAGCAAAUUUCUAGUUGUUAUCUGUAUUUGUUGAGCGUGUCAUUUUUCCAUAGCUGUCAUCUCCCCAAGGCCCAAAUUAGGACAUGAAAGAGUUAAAGGAUUUUCUAUCAUCUUCUCUUACAAUGCAUCAGAAGAGAUUUGUUCCAGGGGUCAAGAGCAACUCCACAAUGACCCAUCAAAAUGAUUAGAAAUAAAGAUAGAUAUAGAAUAUAUAGAUGUAGCUAUUUCCCAAGGCUUACCCUCUCAAUGAAAUUAUGGCUGCUCUAAAAAUAAGAAUUUAAAAAUCUACUAAGCUAUCUAUUUGAUUGUGAAAGAUAUGUCUCUGGGUGAUAAGGCCAAAGGAGAUAGGAUAAUGGGUAUUACCAAGAGCAAGAUCUCCGAAAUGAGACUAAUGUGCAGUCUCAUUGCAGGUCUGAAGAUACAGUUCCCAUUUAUGGUCGACUGUGCAGUGGUGCUGGAACAUGUGAGUCAGAAGCCUUGUCCAGCUUUCACAGGCCACAGAUAAAGCAAGUCACAUGAUCAAGUGGAGUACCAAAAUGGAAGACCACUGCAAUGUAACCUGCCAAAGGGCAUGAAGACCAGGAUCGGUGAAGAACUGGGGCCAUCUUGACAAUCCACCAUAGCCUACAUUCAUGCAAAUUAUACUUCAAAACUGACAGGUAAUCAAAAUUUGAAGCAAUUCAUCACCAGCAGACAUAUCCUGUAAGAAAUGCUAAAAGAAGUUCUUUGGGCAAAAAGAAAAUUAUAUGUGUCAUAAAGAUGGGUCCAUCAACAGAAAGAGGGGAUUAAGGGAACAAAGCAAAGAACAUAGUUUUUCAAAGACUGAAUAAAACAGAAAAAUGUGUCUCUUCUGCUCACCAGCAUCACUGGUCAUUCUCUUGAAGCAACUCAAAACAGCUCCUCUCAAAUACAUAACAUUGAGCAGUAAAAGCACAUUGCAGAAUACUUCAAAAAGUUCAUGGAAAAUGGAACUAAAACUCCUGGGGAGAAGAGGAAGGCAAUUAAUCUUGCAAUGAAACUCAAGAUGAUUGCCCACAUGGAAGGAGCAUCCAGGAGUGGUCAUUGCAAACGAGUUAGGAUCUUUGCAGUAGAGACUGUCUUGACUGUCUUAAAGAAUAAGCAGUGACUCAAUGAUGCAGUGAAAUCAUCAGAUCCAUUGUCAUGAUGAAGAAAAGGGCUGGACUGAUUGAUGAUACUUGUCAUGUGGUUGGAAGACCAGAUACAGAGAUGCAUAUCAUUUGGCCUACUGACAAUCCAGGCUCAGGCAAUGAGUCUUUUUAUACACUCAAAAAGCCUACUGAUGAUCCCAGGGAUAUGCAAAUGUUUAGAGCAAGUCAUGGGUUGUUCCAAAACUUCAAAAAGCAUCACAUUUUUUACAACGUGAAAAUCAGGGGUGAGAAGGCAAUGCUGAAGUUGCCAAACUUCUUCAGGAAAAGCUGCAUGGGAUAAUUGUGGAUGAGAAAUAUUUGUCAGAAUAAAUAUUGAAUGUCAAUGAUGCAAUCUUGUUCUGGAAGUGUACGCCAGAACGCCAUGCAUCAACCAAGAGUCCAAGACCUUGCCAGGAAUCUGUUUCAGGGUCAAAUGAAAGCCUUUCCUAACCUACCACUCUGAGAUCCUAGAGCACUCAAGAAAGUGAGCAAGCAUAUGCUUCCUGGUGAUUAUUACUGUAACAAGAAAGCCUGCGUAAUAUCAGCAUCGCUUGAAGACUUGCUUUUGAACUAUUUUAGUCUGCAGGCAUGAAAAUAUUGUAGGCAAAACAACACCCUGUUCAAGAUUCCUCUGAUCUCAGAUAACACUCCAGGGUAUCCAAGGCACAUUGGCAACACACAUCCUGAUGUAACAGCUGUGUGUUUGCUGCUGAACACAACCAUACUUAUUCAACCAGUGGACCAAGGCACAAUAGUUAAGGUCAAAGUUUACUAUGUACACCAAAUGUCUGUACAAGCUUUUGCAGCAACUGAAUCUGGCUAACUGUUCUGAGAGUUUUGGAAAGUUUUUCACAUGCUAAAUGUUAUUUGGAACACUGCUUCAACAUGGGGGAGGAAUCACACAGAAAUGCAUGGAUGACAUUUAUGAGAAAGUUUGCAAAUUUAUGUGAACAUAUUCAAAGGCUUUAACAAAGAUUCUGCUGUUGAAGAAACAGUAAGUAACAAGAUAUUAGUGCUUGGGAAACAGCUAGAACUGUAUAUCUAUGAAGAGAAUAUUCAUGAGCUUGUUGGCAUUGAGGAUAAAAAGCCUUCCAGUGAAGAGCGGAUCAAACUGGAGGAAGAAGAAAGUAAAGAAAUUGAGGCAGAGAAAGAAGCUACACCCAAGGCACCAAGAAAAUUCACAGGAGAGAAACUAGUGGAGGCAUGUGUUACUAUCAGCAGUGGCAUAUGCAUAUAAGAAGACGUGGAUGUCAAUUAGAAGAGAUUUCCAAGAGUUCCAGGCAGACACAGGGCGUGCUUGCUUGCGAUGGAGACAUGUCUAAUGAAAAGAACAAACUGCACAAAGUGUGAUAUCUUGCCAGAGAACACUAUGCCUGCUAAACCAUUCACCAACGUGGAUGUUCCAGUGCCUUCUACCAGCAAUUCUCAAGCUUCAUCCACAGAAAAAUUGAUGAGCCUGUCACUGUAGCAUCCUCAUCAGUCAGCAGCUAAUUUUCAUUUGAUGAUUCAAAUAUUCUUCAUGCCCAGUGUGCUUUCAGCUGCAUGCAUUAAAUGGUGAAUACUCAUACAGCCACUCUGUUUUCCCCUUUCAUUACGGCAUUCAAUAAAUUAUAGGAGAUAUUCAAUGGAUUAUUACAAAAUCGACUGUGUCAGAUGAUAUCCCCCUGACUGUAGGCUAAUGUUAAGUGUUCUGAGCAUAUUGUGCACUAGACUAAGAUAGGAUGUUUGUCAGGUGUAUUAAAUGCAGUUUUGACUUAAUAUUUUCGAGUUAAUGACAGAUUUGUUGGGAUAUAAUUCCAUUAGGAAUCAAUGAGCAUCUGUAUUUACGAUGGAUGGUAAAUAUAGAAAUACCACAGUAUCCUACUUAGAGAAUAAGCUCUGAUUAACCACUGUAACUUCUUACUACAUCACUUAGAUAUAUGACAAACCUUCCUUUAUGUAACAACAUUUAUGUUCUGGCAUACUUCUGAUCUGUCCUUCCUCUGCUUCUCAGACUCAGGUGAAAUAGAACCUCAUCUAUAACCUACCCAUGUGCCCGCAAGCCUGGGUCUCCUCCUCUGUUUCCAUGAACCUUCCAAUCAUGCUGGCACUUUCACUGUUUCUUCCUGCCUUGUGGUUACAUGUGUGUCCAACAAGUUUCCAGACCACCCUCAAACAUUCUCUCCUAUCUCCAUCCACAAUUUUGGACUUUCUCUUCCUUCAAGUUGUAUCUCCUCUCUCUCCCUUUUCUCUGCUCACCACUGCCUCAGGCUGUCAAAGCAGUUCGGAUCACAGGCUCUGGCUUAAGUCUUACCCCAAUUCAAAUGCUGGUUCUACAGCCAGCCAGGUAAAUGGCUUUAGACAAAGAUACUUCUCUGGUCCUCAGUUUCCUUACAGUAACAUGGUAAAUUGUAUUUAAAAGAGUUGUAGUAAGUUAAUGAAUGCAAAACUUUUAACACAAUUGUAGCGGGAUAACUUGAACAGAAAUAGGAGAGGCUGAGGCUUUAGCAGGAAACUGCUUUAUUCAUGCUGGCACGAGGCUCAGUUGGAUUCACAUUCUAAAGACUGAGCUCUGAACAAAGAGAGACGUCAGUUAAAUAUCUUUUAGCUUCUUUGCCCCCCUUCUCAGGUUAAGUACAUUUGACUGGGUAUUCUAAGGCUACAUAGAAGCUAUAGGAAUAGAUAUAAGAUUGUGCCUGUGUACACAGUUACUGAUAAGGUUCAACUAGUUUCCUUUAAUAGACCUAACGUUUCUUCCCCAUACAUAGUGAGCUAUAUGCUUGCUGGCACUGGCUAGCAACAUUGCACUGUGCUGACAGGCAGACGUUGAAACAGGUAAGCAAGUAGAUAUGGCUGCAUUCCAUCCCAGGAUAGUCCCUUCUCUUCCUCUAUUUUGAGAAUACCCCUAUCCUACAAUGACCAACAAAAAUCUGCUCAGUGAAUACCACCUGAUACAUGGACCACUACCAACAAGAUCGUCGUCGUUGUCAUCACUACCACCAUGAUUAUUAAUGCUAUAGUACAAGUGCAUCAGGUGUCACAAAGUCAGAUCAGUUCACGAAACGUGAUGUUAAUGGUUGCUGAAAUGAAAGUUCUUAAUAAGAUAUUACCCAUACGUAACUUUUCUGACCCAAACUUCAGAAAUUCUUACGGAGAAAAAUUUAUACUAAUUUUAGUACUGCUUUCACUAAAAGAAACCAUUGAUUAUUAAUUUAAUUAAUUACCUUAACUUUAACAACGAUAUAUUUUCCAAAAGCAGACAAAUGGAUUAAGCAAAUAGAACAUGACUCAUACACUCAAUGGUCCUUCCCUUUAGCCAGCAUUCAUUGAGCACGUGCCAGGUGUUAGCAACAUUCCAAUAAACAGAGAAAAUGAAUUUUUUGUUCUCAUGAAUUAUAUUUCAAAUGGGUAUGGGAAAUAUAUAACAAAAAAUAAAUACUGUUAUGUAAUAUAUCAAAGAGUGAUAAUUGCAGAAACAAAAAUGUAAGGAAACAUAGGAUGAUGAGGGAGGUACUACUUUAAUGAAGAAAUCAGAGAAGGCCUCUCAGAUAAGAGACUAGUUUUAAAAUUUCUGAUUAAAUUUAUCUUCCCACCUUUUUAAUGGCAUCAUGCAUUAAAUCUAUCACUGCACAAGUAUAUCAGACUCAUCCUCUUAUUU